rnacentral:lncRNA from 1 species
AAAAAAACGAAAAAAAAAAAAGAACGAAAGAAACGAAGAGGAGAGAGAAAGAGGAAAGAGAAAAAGUAAUAAGGGUAUUUUGGUCAGUUUACUGAAAAAACGGACCGAAUCUGCAAAAACGAAAAAAGUGAUCCGAUUUUGCAAAAGCCCAAAAUAAGUGAAUUUUUUAUGCAAAAAGGCCAUAAUCAGUAAGAAGCAAUAAGUUGGUUAUUUUUAAAAAAAAAAAUAUAAUCUUUUAA